CUGUAUGCCUGCUGCGGUGAAAUAAGAUGGAUAUGGCUGUCGAUGCCGGCCGCGGUCAGGAUCAAGUGUUCCCCGGAAAUGGCGUCAGUGCUGAGCCCGACAAUCAUAUUCUGCGUCACGCCAUCCAUAAUGGCCGGGUUACCGCUUUUACCAAUGCCAACAAUCAGGCCAUCUUUAAUACCGACGUCGGCCUUAAUGACGCCCAGUUUGGCAUCGAGAAUCGUGACGUUGGUAAUCACCAGGUCCAGAACGCCGUUAUCGCGCGUUAAGGUAUUAUUCGAUCCCAUUCCAUCACGCAG
rfam:Klebsiella pneumoniae subsp. pneumoniae DSM 30104 Contig00014, whole genome shotgun sequence.